rnacentral:rRNA from 1 species
GUGAGGAAUAUUGCGCAAUGGAGGCAACUCUGACGCAGCCAUGCCGCGUGCAGGAAGAAGGCGCUACGCGUUGUAAACUGCUUUUAACCGGGAAGAAACCCCAGGACGUGUCCUGGGUUGACGGUACCGGAGGAAUAAGCACCGGCUAACUUCGUGCCAGCAGCCGCGGUAAUACGAAGGGUGCAAGCGUUAUCCGGAUUCAUUGGGUUUAAAGGGUUCGUAGGCGGAGCGUUAAGUCAGUGGUGAAAUCCUGCAGCUUAACUGUAGACUUGCCAUUGAUACUGGCGCUCUUGAGUGCGCUUGAAGUGGGCGGAAUGUGCCGUGUAGCGGUGAAAUGCUUAGAUAUGGCACAGAACACCAAUUGCGAAGGCAGCUCACUAAGGCGAUACUGACGCUGAGGCACGAAAGCGUGGGGAUCGAACAGGAUUAGAAACCCCGGUAGUCC